CCUUCACUGAAACGGGAUUCCUCCCAAGAGAAGUAUCUGCAGAAGAUCAGGAUGAUAUUCUUCCGCGCAACGCAAACGCACCUGACCCAGUUGGACAGCAUGGACGGAGUCUUCAAAUAUCUAUAUCUACAGGUCGGCUAGGAAUUCUACCUUCUAGAGCCAUUCCACCAGCUAAGCAUCCAUCUCAAAAUCCUACCCAAGAACCCCCAUCACCUGGUCAAAAUCCUUUACCAACCUCCGGAUUCGAUUCUCAACCGCAAGCAACAGCAGCAAUGGCAUCAUUUCAGCUCCCGCUGCUUCCAUCCGGUUCUAUGUGAAAAAACACUACCUUCGUCGGCUUCAGUACAGCUCCCACAGGGGGUCUGCAACAGCAACAACCGAUGCUUCCAAACCGAGCAGCACUAUUGGUGCCAUUCCUGGUUGAACUCCUGCACCCCAAGCACCUCCACAACCUGCAGUACCACCCCCGAUCUCUCAAGCACCCGUCGCACAACAGGCACCAUUUCCCCUAAACCCCAAGGUGCGCUCGUGCCAAGACAAGGCACAGAAAUCACACUGGUGCUCCAACCCGGUUCGACGCUUCCGGCCACAAGCUCAACGUUUCCAACUGGAACAAAGGCAGCAACCUUCAGGUGGGCCAGAAGCCAUUCCACCAGUUUAGCAAUCAUUUCAAAAUCCUAACCAAGGACCCUCGGAUUUGAUUCUCAUCCGCAAGCAACAGCAGCACCGCUCGCAGCAGCAAUGGCAUCAUUUCAGCUCCCCCUACUACGAAUCCAUCCGGUUCUAUGUAAAAUAACCACCAAACCAAGGGCAGUGGCUGUUGGUCCCAUUAUUGGUUGAUCUCCGGUACCCCAGCAAGCACCUCCACAACCUGCAGCACCACCCCCGAUCUCUCAAGCAUUCGUCGCACAACAGGCACCAUUUCCCCUUAAUCAAAGUGCGCUCGUGCCACAUCCAGGCCCAAGAAUCGCACUGGUGCUCCAACCCGGUUCGACGCUCCCGGCAACAAACUCAACAUUUCCAACUGGAACAGGGCCAGGAGCUCUACCUUCAGAAGCUAGCACCCCAGCAAGCACCUCCACAACCUACAGCACCACCCCCGGCACCAACAGGCACCAUUUCCCCCAAACCAAGAUGCGCUCGUGCCAAAAUCAGACUCAGGAAUCGCACCGGUGCUCCAACCCGAUGUUUGACGCUCUCCAAA